CGAAGAUCAAGGAAAUGACUAGUACCCGCUCUAACCACCACUGUCACGACGUUUUUGGGCAGCAUUAAGAUUUCCUGCUACCUGUUGCUGCUGCUGAAUAUACAUGGAAGUAAACCCAGAAAUUAAAUUUACUUCCUCGUCAGUUAUUUCCGAUUUAUCCUGGCUCCAGCUGAUAAGGCUUCCACCCGGAACUUCGACGCGGCAAUAAGCACCGGUGUAUAAGGCGAUGCAGCUGGGUGCGAGUGCCAUUGAUUGGUAUCACAUUAACUUAGCAGAACUACUGUUCAUUUUAUUCCGGUCUUUGCCGAGCUCAGUUGUACACGAUGAAGUCAGCCGCUGCUAUCAUCAUGCUGUGCACCACCGUCACGCUGCUACUCCACUACAGUGCAGCGGAGUCUGGUAACCCCACCGUCGAAUCUGGGCUCAACACAAUCAACGCGGGAAGCGGCGUAGUCAAAUCGGGGAGUGACACCGAAACCGACAAGCUAACACGGGAAAAGCGUUCAAAUGCAGUCGAGAUAUUGGAAACACUUUGGAAAUGUCCCGACCCAUUAAUGACUUAUGGCUGUCGCGACUGUGAGAGGUCAUGCGCCAAACCCAACCCGUCGGCGUUUUGCGCUUUUCAAUGCGACAGCACCUGCAUCUGCAAACCGGGUCUAUACCGUACUUUCCUUCCCUCGCCGACAUGCGCGCCGCCCAAUGGACCCCUCCUCAACAACUGCAAAGGCCAAAUGCCAAUGCGUAAAGGCUAAACAUGGGCUAGGCCAGAUGGCCGCGGCUACGAUAUUUUUUGCGAUUGGUCGAUAUAGCAUACGCUGAUUAUCAAUUAAUUUCCUUACGAUGUUGCGUACGCAUAGCCAGCCAGUGGUUGCUUGGAACAGAAUUUGUGAUUGUACUGAUGGUAGCAUAUUAGCAUUUUUGAACAUGCUGCGGACACACAUUGGUGUAAAUAAAAGACAGGAACCAUCUUGGAAUGUCAAUCUGUUAAACUGUUUUUUGUUAAAUUUUGUGCUGUAUAAUAAAUUCCACCACCUUUCGUGGGAUGGUGAUUUCGCCUUUGGUCCUGCAGCUAACGCACCUGGUAAGCUUUGUUAAUUUAGCUUUUGAAAUAAAUGCCCACGGCUG